CAGUCGCCGCGGGAAUACAGAGGGUGCGAGCGUUAAUCGGAUUUACUGGGCGUAAAGCGUGCGUAGGCGGCUUCUUAAGUCGGAUGUGAAAUCCCUGAGCUUAACUUAGGAAUUGCAUUCGAUACUUGGAAGCUAGAGUAUGGGAGAGGAUGGUAGAAUUCCAGGUGUAGCGGUGAAAUGCGUAGAGAUCUGGAGGAAUACCGAUGGCGAAGGCAGCCAUCUGGCCUAAUACUGACGCUGAGGUACGAAAGCAUGGGGAGCAAACAGGAUUAGAUACCCCCGUAGUCCCUGUCUCUUAUAA
rnacentral:rRNA from 1 species